rnacentral:rRNA from 1 species
GAUGAACGCUGACAGAAUGCUUAACACAUGCAAGUCAACUUGAACUUCGGUUUGGGUGGCGGACGGGUGAGUAACGCGUAAAGAACUUGCCUCACAGCUAGGGACAACAUUUGGAAACGAAUGCUAAUACCUGAUAUUAUGAUUAUAUGGCAUCGUAUAAUUAUGAAAGCUAUAUGCGCUGUGAGAGAGCUUUGCGUCCCAUUAGCUAGUUGGAGAGGUAACAGCUCACCAAGGCGAUGAUGGGUAGCCGGCCUGAGAGGGUGAUCGGCCACAAGGGGACUGAGACACGGCCCUUACUCCUACGGGAGGCAGCAGUGGGGAAUAUUGGACAAUGGACCGAGAGUCUGAUCCAGCAAUUCUGUGUGCACGAUGAAGUUUUUCGGAAUGUAAAGGGCUUUCAGUUGGGAAGAAAAAAAUGACGGUACCAACAGAAGAAGUGACGGCUAAAUACGUG